rnacentral:rRNA from 1 species
UUCUGUUCGGUUAGCGGCGGACGGGUGAGUAACACGUGGGUAACCUGCCCGUAAGACCGGGAUAACUCCGGGAAACCGGGGCUAAUACCGGAUAACACCGAAGACCGCAUGGUCUUUGGUUGAAAGGUGGCUUUUGCUACCACUUACGGAUGGGCCCGCGGCGCAUUAGCUAGUUGGUGAGGUAACGGCUCACCAAGGCGACGAUGCGUAGCCGGCCUGAGAGGGUGACCGGCCACACUGGGACUGAGACACGGCCCAGACUCCUACGGGAGGCAGCAGUAGGGAAUCUUCCGCAAUGGACGAAAGUCUGACGGAGCGACGCCGCGUGAGCGAAGAAGGUCUUCGGAUCGUAAAGCUCUGUUGUUAGGGAAGAAGAAGUACCGUUCGAAUAGGGCGGUACGGUGACGGUACCUAACGAGAAAGCCCCGGCUAACUACGUGCCAGCAGCCGCGGUAA